rnacentral:rRNA from 1 species
ACGUAGGAGGCGAGCGUUAUCCGGAUUUACUGGGCGUAAAGCGUGCGCAGGCGGUUGUGCAAGACAGAUGUGAAAUCCCCGGGCUCAACCUGGGAACUGCAUUUGUGACUGCACGACUGGAGUGCGGCAGAGGGGGAUGGAAUUCCGCGUGUAGCAGUGAAAUGCGUAGAUAUGCGGAGGAACACCGAUGGCGAAGGCAAUCCCCUGGGCCUGCACUGACGCUCAUGCACGAAAGCGUGGGGAGCAAACAG